rnacentral:rRNA from 1 species
UGGGGGAAACCUGAAGGGCCAGGCCGCAGAUCCCGGAAGGUCUUAGGGUUGUAAGGCUCUUUCAGCUGGGAAGAUGAUGACCGUACCCACAGCACAAGCCGCGGCUAGAUGGGUGUCUGCAGCUGCGGUAAUACGGAGGGGGUUAUAGUUAGUGGGAAUUCCUGGGCGUAAAGGGCAUGUAGGCUGACUGUGUAUAAGUCAAAGCUGUGAAAGCCCAGGGUGCUCAACCUUGGAACUGUUUCCUAUCGUGGCACACUCCCCAGUCUUGACGGCCUGAGAGGAAGUGGAUGGAUUCCGAUGUGUAGAGGUGAAAUUCUUAGAUAUUCGGAGGAAUACCAAUGGGCGAAGGGCGGCUUUCUGGCUCUACUACUGACGCUGAGGUGCUAAAGCGUGGGGGGCCAUCAAGAUAUAGAUAACCUGGUGGUGAUACGCGCGUAAAUGAUGAAUGAUAGACGCUAUAUCGGGUAGCAUCCGCUAUUCGGUGCACACCUAACGGAUUUUUGGCAUUCCUCCUGGGGGGGACGCCGCCCCGGUUGAAAACUCCAAGGAAUUCAGGAGGGCCCCCACAAACGGUGGACCAUGUGGUUUAAUUAUAAUCAUCGUGCGAGAACAUUACCCACCCUUGACUUGGUAUCGGGUUCUGGGAGACAGAGCUUUCAGUUCCUCUGGAUACCACACACGGGCUCCUGCAUUGCCGUCGUCAUCUCCUGUCAUAAGAUGUUCGUUUAAGUUCGGCAAACGGAAGAUCAACCCACAUUUUUAGUUGCCAUCAUUCAGUGGUGCACUCUAGAUAAACUCCCGGUGAUAACCCAGAGGAAGGUGUGGAAUGACGUCACGACGUCCACAUGGCCCUUACCGCGUUGGGCUACACUACGUGCUACAAUCGCCGGCGCCAAUGGGUUAAUCCCAAAAAGCCAUCUCACGUUCGGAUUGGGGUCUGCAACUGGACCCCAUGAAGUCGGAAUCGCUAGUAAUGGCGUAACAGC